rnacentral:sRNA from 1 species
CAUUUAGUUCUUUGAGUAAAGUUGUUUAGCUUGUUUAGAUCUACAUUUUGGUAUGAUUUCCGUA